CAACCCUCAAGCGCAGCUUGGUCUUGGGCCCUGCCGGCAACGGCUGGCCUUAAAAGCAGUGGCGGCGCCAUCGAGCUCUACGCGUAGUAAUUCUACCCUCGCGUGUGAGUCCCGGUGGCCGCUGGCCAGCAACCCCCAAUUUUUUACU
rnacentral:misc_RNA from 1 species